GAGUUUGAUCCUGGCUCAGGAUGAACGCUAGCGGCAGGCUUCAUACAUGCAAGUCGAGGGGCAGCAUAAAUUACUUGUAAUUUGAUGGCGACCGGCGAACGGGUGCGUAACGCGUAUGCAACUUACCUUUUACUAGAGAAUAGCCAAGAGAAAUUUUGAUUAAUGCUCUAUGUUCUUAUUUACUCGCAUGAGUAAAUAAGCAAAGCUCCGGCGGUAAAAGAUGGGCAUGCGUCCUAUUAGCUUGUAGGUGAGGUAAUGGCUCACCUAAGCUCCGAUAGGUAGGGGUCCUGAGAGGGAGAUCCCCCACACUGGUACUGAGACACGGACCAGACUUCUACGGAAGGCAGCAGUAAGGAAUAUUGGACAAUGGAGGCAACUCUGAUCCAGCCAUGCCGCGUGAAGGAAGACGGCCUUAUGGGUUGUAAACUUCUUUUAUACAGGAAGAAACCUUUCCACGUGUGGAAAGUUGACGGUACUGUAAGAAUAAGGAUCGGCCAACUCCGUGCCAGCAGCCGCGGUAAUACGAAGGGACCUAGCGUAGUUCGGAAUUACUGGGCUUAAAGAGUUCGUAGGUGGUUAAAAAAGUUGGUGGUGAAAUCCCAGAGCUUAACUCUGGAACUGCCAUCAAAACUUUUUAGCUAAAGUAUGAUAGAGGAAAGCAGAAUUUCUAGUGUAGAGGUGAAAUUCGUAGAUAUUAGAAAGAAUACCAAUUGCGAAGGCAGCUUUCUGGAUCAUUACUGACACUGAGGAACGAAAGCAUGGGUAGCGAAGAGGAUUAGAUACCCUCGUAGUCCAUGCCGUAAACGAUGUGUGUUAGACGUUGGAAAUUUAUUUUCUGUGUCGCAGCGAAAGCAAUAAACACACCGCCUGGGGAGUACGACCGCAAGGUUAAAACUCAAAUGAAUUGACGGGGACCCGCACAAGUAGUGGAGCAUGUGGUUUAAUUCGAAGAUACGCGCAGAACCUUACCAACACUUGACAUGUUCGUCGCGACUUUAAGAGAUUAAAGUUUUCGGUUCGGCCGGACGAAACACAGGUGCUGCAUGGCUGUCGUCAGCUCGUGUCGUGAGAUGUUGGGUUAAGUCCCGCAACGAGCGCAACCCUCACUUUUAGUUGCCAUCAUUUAGUUGGGCACUCUGAAAGAACUGCCAGUGAUAAGCUGGAGGAAGGUGGGGAUGACGUCAAGUCCUCAUGGCCCUUACGUGUUGGGCUACACACGUGCUACAAUGGCAUUUACAAUAGGAAGCAAGACGGCGACGUUAAGCAAAUCCUAAAAAAAUGCCUCAGUUCGGAUUGUACUCUGCAACUCGAGUACAUGAAGCUGGAAUUACUAGUAAUCGCGGAUCAGCGCGCCGCGGUGAAUACGUUCCCGGGUCUUGCACUCAC
rnacentral:rRNA from 1 species